GACGAACCGUGCGAACGUUAUUCGGAAUCACUGGGCUUAAAGGGUGCGUAGGCGGGUUGCCAAGUCUGUGGUGAAAUCCUCCGGCUCAACCGGAGAACGGCCGUGGAUACUGGCGACCUCGAGUGGGGUAGGGGCUUGCGGAACUGUGCGUGGAGCGGUGAAAUGCGUUGAUAUGCACAGGAACUCCGGUGGCGAAGGCGGCGAGCUGGACCCUAACUGACGCUGAGGCACGAAAGCCAGGGGAGCGAACGGG
rnacentral:rRNA from 1 species